UACGCACGCUGGCGGCGUGCCUAAUACAUGCAAGUCGAGCGGACGAAUCGAAAGCUUGCUUUUGAUUCGUUAGCGGCGGACGGGUGAGUAACACGUGGGCAACCUGCCCUGUAGACGGGGAUAACACCGAGAAAUCGGUGCUAAUACCGGAUAACACGAAAUGUCGCAUGACGUUUCGUUGAAAGACGGCGCAAGCUGUCGCUACAGGAUGGGCCCGCGGCGCAUUAGCUAGUUGGUGAGGUAACGGCUCACCAAGGCGACGAUGCGUAGCCGACCUGAGAGUGUGAUCGGCCACACUGGGACUGAGACACGGCCCAGACUCCUACGGGAGGCAGCAGUAGGGAAUCUUCCGCAAUGGACGAAAGUCUGACGUAGCAACGCCGCGUGAGCGAAGAAGGCCUUCGGGUCGUAAAGCUCUGUUGUUAGGGAAGAACAAGUAACGCAGUAACUGGCGUUACCGUGACGGUACCUAACGAGAAAGCCACGGCUAACUACGUG
rnacentral:rRNA from 1 species